rnacentral:rRNA from 1 species
CUACGGAGGGUGCGAGCGUUAAUCGGAAUUACUGGGCGUAAAGGGUGCGUAGGCGGCUUGAUAAGUCGGAUGUGAAAGCCCCGGGCUUAACCUGGGAAUUGCAUUCGAUACUGUCAGGCUAGAGUAUGUCAGAGGUUGGCGGAAUUCCUGGUGUAGCGGUGAAAUGCGUAGGUAUCAGGAGGAACACCAGUGGCGAAGGCGGCUAACUGGGACAAUACUGACGCUGAGGCACGAAAGCGUGGGGAGCAAACAGGAUUAGAUACCCUAGUAGUCC